rnacentral:lncRNA from 1 species
CUCACUGUGCAUGGCGGUGUGGUUGUUUGAAAUCCUAUAAUGCUCCCAUCCAGGCUGAUAACGUUUCCCAAAAUAUGCGGCU